GAUGAACGCUGGCGGCGUGCCUAAUACAUGCAAGUCGAGCGAACAGACGAGGAGCUUGCUCCUCUGACGUUAGCGGCGGACGGGUGAGUAACACGUGGAUAACCUACCUAUAAGACUGGGAUAACUUCGGGAAACCGGAGCUAAUACCGGAUAAUAUAUUGAACCGCAUGGUUCAAUAGUGAAAGACGGUUUUGCUGUCACUUAUAGAUGGAUCCGCGCCGCAUUAGCUAGUUGGUAAGGUAACGGCUUACCAAGGCAACGAUGCGUAGCCGACCUGAGAGGGUGAUCGGCCACACUGGAACUGAGACACGGUCCAGACUCCUACGGGAGGCAGCAGUAGGGAAUCUUCCGCAAUGGGCGAAAGCCUGACGGAGCAACGCCGCGUGAGUGAUGAAGGUCUUCGGAUCGUAAAACUCUGUUAUUAGGGAAGAACAAAUGUGUAAGUAACUAUGCGCGUCUUGACGGUACCUAAGCAGAAAGCCACGGCUAACUACGU
rnacentral:rRNA from 1 species